ACAAUUGCACAAGAAAGAAAGAUUAAAAGUCAGUACUCAACUUCAAACAUCUAAGUUAAAAUCUAAGAACCAAGCCAGAAAUCUCAGAGUUGUCAU